CACAACUACAGACCUUUAAGUCAGUCGGAAGAAACACGCAUGCACAGAACAGUCACAUCCAGCUGGACCACUGCGCCUUUAUCCACGUGACCGUGGUGGCAGAGAACGCAGCAGACCUGAAGACAGUCGUGUACUCGGACCCGGUCCUGGUGGACCUGACACCGCCAGUUAUCUCUGACGUUAAGGACGGAAGUCAACUAGAGGACUUGGACUACCAGAACACGUCUGUCAUUUCCCUGUACUGGGAUGUACGUGAUAAAGAGAGCGGUGUGGACUUUUGUGACUGGACAAUCGGACUGUCGCCAGGGUCCGGGGAACUCCAGCCUUUUGUACGCCUGCCGUCUGUUCAUGUGCCACACGCCGUGUCUGACCUAAAAUACAGUUGACAAAGUAUCACUAAAAGAAAUAGAUUUUAUACCUUUUGUGUGGCCAUGGCAACGGGUUCCUGACAGGCAUUCUAACAUUAAUAACUGUAUAAAUUUUCACCCAUGGACAAUAUUCCUGUGUGUUUGUUUCGUUUUAAAUAACGUAAUGCUGCAUAAGGCCAUGUUGAUUUGAUUAUAUGGAUGACAUCCUCCGGGAACCCCAAAACUGAUGCGAGCGUGCGAAUAAAAAAAAAGUUUGGCCAAAAAAAAAGUUCCCUAAGUAUAAAAUCUAUGUAGUCAGGAAGGACGAAAAAAUGACCAAAUACACAGAGUUUGGUAUA